rnacentral:lncRNA from 1 species
GCUGGUCCUCCCGGGUCGGGAGAGCUUCGUUAGUGCCGGCGGCGGUUGUAGAGGUGAGGACUGGAGACUGGCUCCCCCGACUGGGGGGAGGAGGGCGGGAGCCCUUGGAACACGAUCGAGGGUCUCUGCGGACUGUGUACCCCAGAGGGAUACACAGAAGAGGGAAGAUCAAGAGAAGACAAGAGGAGUCUUCAGGGCCAUCCAUAAGAAAACAGCUUUUCGGAGGAAGCCGACACGCAGACCCAGGGAAGGAACCUUGCAGAUGAGUGGGGAUCGUCACAUGCAAGAAGGACAAGAAAAGAUUUUUUUUUUUUUCCCCAGAGCUGAGGACCGAACCCAGGGCCUUGCGCUUGCUAGGCAAGCGCUCUACCACUGAGUUAAAUCCCCAACCCCAAGAAAAGAUUAUUAAGCCUAAAAUAGACAUCCAAAAUUUUAAAUGAUCAGAUGACAAACUCAAAAGAGCAGAUGGUGAAGAGAGCCCUCAAAGACAGGUGAUAGAGGAACAUUAAGGCCAGAGGACUAUGGCUAGUUGUGUGUUAGUGGGAACUGACAAUUGCUGAAAAUACAGACAUGUUUCACUAUAUUCGCUACACUCAAUUUAUGAAAUCAACUUAAGGAAAAUAUUCCAUGUAUCAUGAAAUAAGAGAAUGAUCCAGCGGGGAUUUUUUUUUUCAGAGCAGGAUCUUAAGAAUUCUUACCCUUCUUGCCUCAGACUUCCAAGUAAUGAGAUUACAUGUGUUCACCCCACACCCAGGUCUUUUUUGGCUGGCCUCUGUGGAGGAUCUGAAGAUUGAUCAGAACAUUCUCUUUCUUGUCCUCCAGAUUAACUUUAAUUCUUGGUGAGGGAUGCACACGUGGAGGUACAUGGGUGGCAGUCAGAAGGGAGACUUUCAGGAGUCAGUUCUCUUCUAUCAGCAUGUGUCUCCCAGGGAUGGGGCUCAGGCCUGCAGGCUGGGGUGGCUAGUGUGGAUUACUAAAAUAAACAUGAUAGGCUGCG